CUAUCAACACCCAAAGCUGAAGUUCUAUUUAAACUAUUCCCUG
rnacentral:tRNA from 2 species